rnacentral:rRNA from 1 species
GACGAACGCUGGCGGCGUGCUUAACACAUGCAAGUCGAACGGAAAGGCCCCUUCUGGGGUCCUCGAGUGGCGUGCGGGUGAGUAACACGCGCUUAACCUCCCCUUGACUUCGGGAUAACUACCGGAAAAUGGGGCUAAUCCUGGAGAGGAAUCCUUGCUGCAUGGUGGAGGUUGGAAAGUUUCGGCGGUUUUGGAUGGACUCGCGGCCUAUCCGCUUGUUGGUGGGGUAGCGGCUUACCAAGGCUUUGACGGGGAGCCGGCCUGAGAGGGCGACCGGCCACAGUGGGACUGAGAUACGGCCCAGACUCCUACGGGUGGGAGCAGUGGGGAAUAUUGCACAAAGAGCAGGGGCCUGAUGCAGAAACGCCGCGGGCGGGAUGACGGUCUUCGGGUUGGAAACCGAUUGCAGCAGGAGCUAAGCAUGUGAUGACGGUACCUGCAGAAGAAGCACCGGCUAACUACGUG